AGCUCAACAAAGAUCCACAUUUUUGCCUCAUAAUUUCACUUUAUACAUGGAUUCCUUGGAGUCUGUCUGCUGUAUACAACAGCUUUGAAACACAACUCAGGAAGAGGAGCAAAGCCAGUGAACCACUCAUGGACAGCUGUUUCGUUGUUAAUGCAUCUCAUCAGCAUGAGGCUGGUUACUGACUUGCUAUGGAGGCUUGGCAUUACUUGUCAAGUACAUACCAAAAGAGUUGUGGUGGGG